rnacentral:rRNA from 2 species
CGAUAACGAACGAGACCUUAACCUGCUAAAUAGUUAGGCCAACGUUUGUUGGUCGUCAACUUCUUAGAGGGACUAUUGACUAUUAGUCAAUGGAAGUUUGAGGCAAUAACAGGUCUGUGAUGCCCUUAGAUGUUCUGGGCCGCACGCGCGCUACACUGAUCAAGUCAACGAGUUUACAACCUUGGCCGGAAGGUCUGGGUAAUCUUUUGAAACUUGAUCGUGCUGGGGAUAGUCCAUUGCAAUUAUUGGACUUCAACGAGGAAUUCCUAGUAAGCGUGAGUCAUCAGCUCGCGUUGAUUACGUCCCUGCCCUUUGUACACACCGCCCGUCGCUACUACCGAUUGAAUGGCU